CCUACGGGAGGCAGCAGUGAGGAAUAUUGGUCAAUGGGCUCAAGCCUGAACCAGCCAUCCCGCGUGCAGGAUGACGGCCUUAUGGGUUGUAAACUGCUUUUCUACGCAAAGAACGGGUCUUACGUGUAAGGCAUUGACGGUAGUGUAGGAAUAAGCAUCGGCUAACUCCGUGCCAGCAGCCGCGGUAAUACGGAGGAUGCAAGCGUUAUCCGGAUUCAUUGGGUUUAAAGGGUGCGCAGGCGGAGAUAUAAGUCAGUGGUGAAAGACUGCCGCUCAACGGUAGUCUUGCCAUUGAUACUGUUUCUCUUGAGUAUGGAUGAGGUAGGCGGAAUGUGCAGUGUAGCGGUGAAAUGCAUAGAUAUUGCACGGAACACCAAUUGCGAAGGCAGCUUACUGGGCCAUUACUGACGCUCAGGCACGAAAGCGUGGGGAUCAAACAGGAUUAGAUACCCUGGUAGUCCACGCAGUAAACGAUGUUCACUCGCUGUUUGCGAUAUACUGUAAGCGGCUUAGUUAAAGCAUUAAGUGAACCACCUGGGGAGUACGAUCGCAAGGUUGAAACUCAAAUGAAUUGACGG
rnacentral:rRNA from 1 species